rnacentral:rRNA from 1 species
UACGUAGGGUGCAAGCGUUGUCCGGAAUUAUUGGGCGUAAAGCGUGCGCAGGCGGGCUUUUAAGCCAGACGUGAAAUCCCCGGGCUUAACCUGGGAAUGGCGUUUGGGACUGGGAGUCUGGAGUGCGGCAGAGGAGACUGGAAUUCCUGGUGUAGCAGUGAAAUGCGUAGAUAUCAGGAGGAACACCGAUGGCGAAGGCAGGUCUCUGGGCUGACACUGACGCUCAUGCACGAAAGCGUGGGGAGCAAACAGG